rnacentral:rRNA from 1 species
GACGAACGCUGGCGGCGUGCCUAAUACAUGCAAGUCGAACGCAGUGGGGACGGGUGAGUAACACGUGGGUAACCUCCCAUCAGAGGGGAUAACACUUGGAAACAGGUGCUAUACCGAUACUGCUGGAUGGACCCGCGGUGCAUUAGCUAGUUGGUGAGGUAACGGCUCACCAAGGCAACGAUGCAUAGCCGGCCUGAGAGGGUGACCGGCCACACUGGGCCUGAGACACGGCCCAGACUCCUACGGGAGGCAGCAGGAGGGAAUCUUCGGCAAUGGACGAAAGUCUGACCGAGCCAUGCCGCGUGUAUGAAGAAGGCCUUAGGGUUGUAAAGUACUUUCAGCGGGGAGGCGUUACCCGCAGAAGAAGCACCGGCUAACUCCGUGCCAGCAGCCGCGGUAAUAC